rnacentral:rRNA from 1 species
UGGGGAAUUUUGGACAAUGGGGGCAACCCUGAUCCAGCAAUGCCGCGUGAGUGAAGAAGGCCUUCGGGUUGUAAAGCUCUUUUGUCAGGGAAGAAACGGUAGUAGCGAAUAACUAUUACUAAUGACGGUACCUGAAGAAUAAGCACCGGCUAACUACGUGCCAGCAGCCGCGGUAAUACGUAGGGUGCAAGCGUUAAUCGGAAUUACUGGGCGUAAAGCGUGCGCAGGCGGUUGUGUAAGUCAGAUGUGAAAUCCCCGGGCUCAACCUGGGAAUUGCAUUUGAGACUGCACGGCUAGAGUGUGUCAGAGGGGGGUAGAAUUCCACGUGUAGCAGUGAAAUGCGUAGAUAUGUGGAGGAAUACCGAUGGCGAAGGCAGCCCCUGGGAUAACACUGACGCUCAUGCACGAAAGCGUGGGGAGCAAACAGGAUUAGAUACCCAAGUAGUCCCUGAGCGGGCUGGCAAGGCGCAU